GUGCGCGCUCCCCGGCCCUGGCGCUGCCGUGCGUGCGCGCCCCCGCCCCCUGGCCGCGCCGCGCGGAGGGUAUUGUCCUUCGCAAAAUGGCCGCCUCCCCCCCCCGCGGCGCGUGCCCGCGCGGCUGCGCGCCCGCCUCGUACAGGCCGGGGCCCCUGGCAGCCCCCCCAGCCCGCUGCGCUCCUUGUGGCCGGGCCUCCCCGCGCCCGCCUGUGGCCCCAUGGGCGCUGCCUUGUCUGCAGGGCUCCUCGCAACAUCACUCACCCGCUCCGGCCUGCUUCGCAGGCUCCUUGUAGGGCCACCCUCAUGGCCCCUGUCUGCCCCCUCCCAGUUCCCUCAUGGCCCCUGCUUGCCCCCCCUCUACCCCCACACACACAGCCCCCAACCUCCCUCCUUGCUGCUCCAGCCACGUACCCUCCUCAGGACGGUCGCUGCCACUUUGGGGCAAAACCCCGGCCUCGUCUGCCCCGCAGGCUCGCCUGCCCGCCCGCCCGCCGUAGACGGCAAAGCCCCUGCCUGGCAUCGUCCCCCUGUGUCAUAUUUGUUAUUAAGACUCACGGCUUCGCGACUCUCCCCACGGGUCGUGAAGCCGCGUGACGUGCUCCACGUGCGAUGCUUAUGGGGGGGUGGUUUCAGUCGCCCGGUGGUAGCAAUUGAAUGUGGACAUUCGGGGUGCAGCCUCGAAAUCCUAGACCUUAAACGCCAGAGGCUGCAAGGGGGAGAGGAAAGGGGGGAAAAACCCUGGUCAUACCCCAUUCGCUUCCCCUUUCUGCACCCGAGCUCUACCACUGCGACAUAGGAGACCGGGCAAGACGGACCCGUGGGCUGACCCAGUAAAUGGCAUUUUUCGCGGGUUAUGUACGUGUUGCAAAAGGCUGGUAUUUGUCCCAUGGCGUUCCAGGCAUAAAGAGACGUUGUUAGCUAUGUUAGUCUGAAAUCAAGUAGAUGACAGGGUAGAUUAGCACUUUACAGACGAUCCAAAAAGUGUAAAUAUACAUACGGGAGAGGAGAGGAUUUCUUAUGCUGGUAGCUUUUAUUGGACCAACUCUAGAGUUGGGAUAGAGUUCGACAAGCUUUUGAACGCUUGAUAGUCUUCAUCAGGUGCAACCAAAACAAGCCAAGCACAGCAUGUGUAUAUAUAUAGAGAGAGAGAGAGAGAGACAGACAGAGAUUACACAUGAGCAAGCACAAGCUAUAUAUUUUAGGUGCAAGUCAAUACUGUCAUAAAGUGUACAAAGCUUCCACUAAAGUCACUGGGGUAUAUCCCACAUAUAAGCCCAAAAGCAAUGUUUGCCUGUAAAAGUUAAUGUGGAGAUAAUGCAGCAAUAUAAUGGCAGCUGAAGUUUGUUUUUCAGAUCCUUCAAGUGGGCACGAAGACAACACCGCACCUGGAAAACCGUCCGAUAAUAAGAGACUUACUGAAACUAACCCCAAGCAGGCGCUUGCCACAAUGAAUUCUUCUGCUUGUUUGAUCCCUUCAAGCAUCAACAGUCCUACUUAAAAGAAAAAAAGUCACCAGCCCAGCCACACACUUUGGAGAACCAGAGCAGAAACACAACAGCUGAAAAUGACCAAACUGAAAUAGUAAUGUUGUGCAAUGUCAACUGAAGAGAACUCGGAUUCACCUCCCGAACUCAGACUUUCCUUUUCAUCCCCCAUCAGGAAUUCUGCUCCCCUUCCUUUCCUUUGUUGCCAUGGAUUUCCCUCCCUAAUGCUACCUGAUUUCUCUAAGGCCACAUAAACGACCUUUGCAAAGAUUUGUCUGGAAGUUGAAACCUCACUCCUACCAGGAUUUGGGAUCUUGUUGGAAAUCAAAUUUUCACAAUUAAUCGUAUGAAUAUCGUAUGGUUGCAACCUUACAAGAGGGGCUUAGCCCGGCCUAUGAACUGACUGAUCGGGUUCCCGCCACUGAAGACAGGUAGUUAAUUCUCCUUGCACAGUUUCUCUGUAGUCCAGCCUCUCACGAACUGUAACAUUUACACUCUGUUUCCCAGCACUGGAAUUUGGAAUCUAAUCCCAAAUUCCAACAAAACUUCUAAUUGUAACAUCCUGCCCCUUCUUUCGUUCAAGGGGCCAGUGUAGCAUUUCCAUAGCAUAGCUUGGUCACACCACAUAGAGAAAAGAAUACACUGUAUUUGAAAAUAAGUAACACGGUAAUCAUGCUAUAUCCUAACAUACUGCACUGACCUUAUAACACAUGACAAACUGGAAGGAGCCAGGGAGUAACCUGGUGAAAGAGGAGAGGCAAGCCAUUCUUUCCAAGCCAUGUCUCCUUGCAACACAAAACCAACUUUUCACACACAUGGAUGAUUCAGCAGUUCUUUCCCAGCUUGACUUCUCUUAUGUUCUCGGAUGACUAUCAAAGAGGACUUCUCCAAUAAGCCUCUCCAUUUUGACUUGACAUACAUUUUAUCAUUCACAUUACGGUGCUCGUACUUAUUUCAGUUCCUAAGAGGCAAGAUAAACAAAUAGCUAGUAACUAGAGACAUCCAUGAUACGGGCUCCUGGUAUGGAAACACAAUUGUACCAGAACAACAUUCUGAUCUGCAACCUCCUCUUAUCUCUUUUUCAGUUCUGGCCUGCUUGUGGCCAGAGACACUAUACUUUCUGGUGAUUUUGUGACAGAUAAAUGUCCUCUAAGAACUGUUUUGAGUUCAUUCCAAAGUUUUAACUUGAACAAAUGCUUGAUUUAGAAGAGCAACAGUAUUUGUUUCUAACCUAACAUCUACAUUACUCUGCUCUUUGCAUGCAAGUGGAUGGACUUUCUCGCUUUUGGGUUUCUUCCAAGAGUCUCAUAAUUUGUUUCCCUAACACACUCUAUCUGAGGGACUCUCUCAUCUGCAGAAGAUGGCUGGGCAGGACUAGCGCCAAAGCCCAGCACCACCUCUGUAACAGCUGGUUGAGAAGUAGGAACAUGUGGGGGAGGAAGAAAAGGAGCUUUCUUAAAAUAACCAAAGGUGCUAUAUUCUUCCAUUUAGUAUACAGCUUAUUUAAACAGGGCUCAAAACAUGUGAAGGCCAUUACAGAUCAAAAGACAUGCAAAACCAUCUUACAUGCUAUUUAUAGAAAUAAUGCAAAUAGCCACCAUAGCAAACACUGUGUGAAGCGUGUCACAAAAUGGAGAUUACUUGAUAGUGCCACAAGACAUUUUUGUAUUUUAAACAUAAGUUGUCUACUUUCUCAUUGGCCACUCCUUCCCUCUUAUUUGAUCUCUGUCUUCUUUCUCAUUGCUCACUCCUUCCCUCUUAUUUGAUCUCUUUUUUAGUAUUUUAGUAUUUACAACCUGUCCAUACAGGGGAAUUCUUUAGGGGUUAUCUGAAAGAAGAGGGUUGAACUAGUGCUUCAUGUCUGAGAAUAGAAUGGGAGAUUUGAAGACAGAAGCAGCAUUACAUAGAAGACAUAUCAAGAUGGGCACUGUUAGUAGAAUAAAAGAUUUGAAGGCAGAUAUGAAAAGAAACUGGAUCUUAAGAGAAUAUAUCAGCUUUCAUGAUUCCUGUAUUACAACUAUAUAAAAGCAAGCUAAAAAACAAUUUCAGAGAUGACAACCUUUGCCCCGAGUCUUGCUACCAACUAUGCAUGUUCAUGAACAUUACUUACAAAAAAAAACGUAUACAGGGCAUCUACACAGCAACAGGGAAAGUUCAUUAUAUGGGAGAAACAACCAAACUGACUAGAUAUCAAGUGCUGUUUCAAAUAAAAUUAUAAAAAUGGGAAGAGAUGACACAUCUCUAAGUUUAUUACUGAGAAUGUAGGGAUUACUAGUGACAGACCAUUCAAAACCUCCAGACAUAAGUGUUGGUUUUCACCAUUUCUGAAAGCAAGCAGCUUCUCUUAAGAGCAUAGGUAAAUAUGCCUCAGCAGACCUGUUACCUUUGUGUCCUUUAUCUACUCACAGUUAUGAAAACAAGGGGCUUUUGCUCCCAUCUGUCCUGUCAAACUGCCAUAGCUCAAGGAGAAUGAGCUGGGUUCCUUUCUUAGUUAACACCAGCAGACUGCAUGUUCCAGUCACAGGACCUCCUUUCUUACACCUAUGCAAAGGAGUUGCAGAGGUGUAAUCCAGCGCGUGUUUAGAUGAUAUCAGAGUUGCCCAGACAUACCCAAGGGCAGACAUUAAUUAUAAAAUCCUUGUUAGUGGUGAUGAUGAAAAUGCCAGAUGCAGAACUACUAGACUUUCUAGUGCUAAAUUUGCAGUGCUGGUAGUUAUAAAAAGCAAACAAACAUGCAUGUACUUGUAAAAGAA